AUUUUUUCACUCGUGUAUGUGUUUUAUCCAAAUAAAGAUAAUAAACCUUUUUUUUAGAAAUCUUUGCAUGUUUUACUGACAUUUCUUAUAAACUAUGCCAGUUAAACAGUAAGGAGUGACUAUUAACUUUCAUCUACAUUUUUUCCAUUUAAGGCUAUCUAUCUCAUCAGAAAUCCCAGAGAUGUUCUUGUUUCUGGUUAUUUUUUCUUUAGUAAGACAAACCUUAUGAAGAAACCAGAGUCACUGGAGACUUAUUUUGAAUGGUUCCUCAAAGGCAAUGUUCAUGUAGGCAGGACACUCCAAGGCAAAUGUUUUGUGAAUUUCUUGCUGUCAUUAUCCUUCCACUGGGACUCCUACCUGGUAACAGGACGUGGCAUUGUAGACUCCAUAACUCCUACUGUGAAGAGUCGCAGACAGAGUCACCACAAUAGAGUCCCUGGAGUCUCCCCAUGCCAGAUCUCAGAGACUAUUUUGUUGGCCUGGAACUCUCUAUAUAGUCUGGGAUGACUUUGAAGCUUGGCUCCUACUUCUGCUACUUUUUGAAUUCUAGGACUACAAACACCUACUGUGUACUUUAUUGAAUUGAUUCUGAGGCUAAACCCACAAUUUCAUGUGGAUUACCUAACUUGUCUAAAUCUCUAGCCAUUGAGGAACUUUUGUAGGCUCCAUUUUGUGCCUCUACAUUCAACCAGUCUGUGGGCCAAAGGCUCAUCAACAUUUCAAACCUGAUUGUGAAGUCUUUCUGUUCUUACACACCACUAAAGAACAGGAAACAGCCACAGCUUGUGCCAUUAUGUACAAUUUCAGCACCAUUUGGAAUAUCUUGUCUUUCCAACUUAAUGUAGAUGCAUCAGUCUUCAUUUUAGUAAGACAUGUCCCACAUAGGCCCCCACAUUUGAAUACUUGUUUCCCAGUUGGUGGUGCUUUUCCAGAAUGUUUAUGAGACACAGCCAAGUUGGAGGAAGUAUUCAAUUCAUGGAGGGCUUUGAGAGAUUAAACUCUUAAGCACCUUCCAGUGUACUCCCUCUGCUUUCUGCUUGUAGUAAAGGAAAUGAAAUCCCAGCUUCCUGUUUCUAUAGCUUUUCCUGCCAUGGACAAGUUCUCUCUUCCUUAAGUUGUGUUUUUCAUGUUGUUGUUUUAGCACAGCAACAGAAAAAUAACAAAUGCUAUUUUCUUCCUA